AGAGGGUGCAAGCGUUAAUCAGAAUGACUGGGCGUAAAGGGCGUGUAGGUGGUUGACUAGGUUUGAUGUGGAAAUCCCCGGGCUUAACCUGGGAAUGGCGUCGAAAACGGGUUGACUAGAGUGAGAGAGAGGGUUGUGGAAUUUCCGGUGUAGCGGUGAAAUGCGUAGAUAUCGGAAAGAACAUCAGUGGCGAAGGCGACAACCUGGCUCUUAACUGACACUGAGGCGCGAAAGGCGUGGGAGCAAACAGGAUUAGAUACCCUGGUAGUCCACGCGGUAAACGAUGAGAACUGGCUGUGAGGCGUGGGACUUCGGUUCUGCGCGACGUAGCGAAGCUAAACGCGUUAAAGUUCUCCGCCUGGGGAGUACGGCCGCAAGGUUA
rnacentral:rRNA from 1 species